rnacentral:rRNA from 1 species
CCUAAGAGAUCGGGAUAACACCUGGAAACAGAUGCUAAUACCGGAUAACAACAGAUGAUGCCUAUCAACUGUUUAAAAGAUGGUUCUGCUAUCACUCUUGGAUGGACCUGCGGUGCAUUAGCUAGUUGGUAGGGUAACGGCCUACCAAGGCGAUGAUGCAUAGCCGAGUUGAGAGACUGAUCGGCCACAUUGGGACUGAGACACGGCCCAAACUCCUACGGGAGGCAGCAGCU